rnacentral:rRNA from 1 species
CCUACGGGGGGCAGCAGUAGGGAAUCUUCGGCAAUGGGCGAAAGCCUGACCGAGCAACGCCGCGUGAGUGAAGAAGGGUUUCGGCUCGUAAAACUCUGUUGCCAGAGAAGAACGUCCAGGAGAGGAACUGCUCCUGGAGUGACGGUAUCUGAGAAGAAAGCCCCGGCUAACUACGUGCCAGCAGCCGCGGUAAUACGUAGGGGGCAAGCGUUGUCCGGAAUUAUUGGGCGUAAAGCGCGCGCAGGCGGUUGUUUAAGUCUGGGGUAUAAGUUCGG